GUGUAAAGAUACAACAAUACCAAAUACAUAUCCAUAUUUAAAGAUUUCUCGGAAUCGCCAGACUUCCCAUCAUACCUUCCCUGGGUCCUAUUGUCAACAUUUUCAGCUCCAUAUUAUUUCAUCAUCCAUAUUUUUUAUCUCUCCAUAUUGUCCAUAGUAGUUGUUACAUUACAAGUGUUAUUAGAAUCCUGCUAAUGUUUUCAUCUGCUUACAGUGGUCUCCCUUAAAUAAAUUAUAAAUGUUUCCCAUUCUUUCUUGAUGUUUUGGUCUUCUUGGUUCCUGGGCUUUCCGGCCAGUUUUACCAUUUUGGCGUAAUCCAACAGCUUGGUUUGCCAUUCCUCUCUGGUCGGGACUUUAUCUUCUUUCCAUCUCUGGACUAAUAGCAUCCGUGCAGCUGUUGUCGCACACAUAAAGUACCGUAUUUUUCGCUCUAUAACACGCACCCGACCAUAACACGCGCGUAGUUUUUAGAGGAGGAAAACAAGAAAAAAAAUAUUCUAAACGAAAUAGUGGAUAUAUGAUUUUUGUGGUUCAUGCUGUGGCCACAGACAUGUGAUCUGACAGUGAGUUUGGAGUAGUCCAAUGCAAAAAUCCUAAGGAUCCAUGUGGAUCCAUGCUUUGUAACCACGGAGGAGGGAAGGAAGGGGAACCAUGGAUCCUCUGCUCACGACUGCAGCAGAUCCCCUCGCCACCCGCAGGCAUUCGCUCCAUAACACGCACAGACAUUUUCCCUUACUUUCUAGGAGGAAAAAAGUGAGUGUUAUGGUGCAAAAAAUACGGUAUUUUCUGCUCCUUUGGGAUGUCGGUAGCUACAAUUCCUAACAGAAAGGCUUCUGGGUGGUUUUUUUACAAAGGUUAUUUUAAACAUUUUUUCCCAGUUCAUUAUAUAUCAUUUCCCAGAAUGCUUUUAUUACCUUGCACGACCACCACAUUAUUUAUUUUUUAUUUUGAAUACAAUCUUAAUUUUAUUUUCACUCUAAAUUUAGACUCUAGAUGGAUACAGCAUCACUCGGAUCCUGUGUCCAAUGGCUUUGGCAGGUAGGUUGGAGCGGAACUUUGCCUGCACCAUGCUGCUGUUUCCAUGGGCACAGGUCACCUUUCCCCAGAUCACUCUGUUGGCUUUGCCGCCAGGAGUCACAGUGUUGUUUUUUGCUUUGUACACAUAGGCGCAUUUCUUGCCCAAAUAGAAUUCUGUCUCAUUACGGGAAUAAAAGUGGCCUUGGACCACAACCUGCCAGUCAUGGUGUUGUCUUGAAGUCCUGUUCCCAGCAGGCCUCAGCAGCACCGAGCCAAGAUGGCGGCGAGAGAGAGCCACGACCACCACAUAUGAUAAAAAAGGUACCUUCUUUUACUUUGCAUUUCCAGCAGGUAUUUGUACUUGUAUUAUACAUUUGCACUAACUUAUUAGGAGUCAAAUACCACAGAUACAACAUUUUCAUAUACCGUAUUUUUCACUCUAUAAGACGCACCAGACCAUAAGACAUACCUAGUUUUUGGAGGAGGAAAACAAG
rnacentral:lncRNA from 1 species